UACAGAGGUCUCAAGCGUUGUUCGGAUUCAUUGGGCGUAAAGGGCGCGUAGGCGGCGGGGUAAGUCGGGUGUGAAAUCUCAGGGCUCAACCCUGAAACUGCACUCGAUACUGCUCUGCUUGAGGACUGGAGAGGAGACUGGAAUUCACGGUGUAGCAGUGAAAUGCGUAGAUAUCGUGAGGAAGACCAGUGGCGAAGGCGGCCGACUGGGCCGGAUCCGACGCUGAUGCGCGAAAGCGUGGGGAGCAAACAGG
rnacentral:rRNA from 1 species